GGCAGCAGGGGGACACGAGGCCUCCAGGGCGGGGCCGCUUCCCAGAUCAGGGCUGCAUGUGCCCAGGCCGGGUGCCGGCUCCCCGUGACUCAGGGCGGACGAGAAGGCGCGAGGACAAGGCAGCGGGGCCAGCAGCCCCGAGAAGCCAGGAAGUGGCCUCACACACUUCCCAGAUCGGCCGAGCGACCCGGUGGCCCUGGGGCUCCCGCUGCGCGGCCGCCUCAGCAGCGGGGCCCUGCGGGCAGCCUGCGGGGACGCUGGGAACCUCUGCGGGGGGGGUGGCAAUCCCAACCCUCAGCCCCCCGGCCGGCCGAGCCACACUUGAAAGUCCCCUCUCCAAACCGGAAGGGCCGCGGCUGAGCGGAGACGGCCGGCUCUCUGCAGCCACGUGAUGCUCCGAGUGGUGCGAUACAACGGAGAAAGAAACCCUAUGGCGUGGGGGAAGGGUGGAAGCUUCUGGUUCUGCCCUCUGGGAACCCCGAGCCCCGAGGGCCCGGCGGGGGUCCCCGCCACACUGGCGACCGCACCGGGGAGGUAGGCGGCCCCCAGCCGAGGUGCGGGACCAGGGUGCAGGCGCCCGCCGACCCCGGGCGAGACCCCAGAGCCGCAAGCACACACGCACUUGUUCGCUCAGGCUCGAAGCUCCGGGCGGCCUGUUACGCAGCGACAGCUGACUGAAGCAGGGACCACGGUACGAGCCGAGAGCCACCACGGCGGUGGGGACGCCGGCCGGUGCAGCAAGACAAGAAAAAAGGAACGGAGGUUGGAGAGAAAAGAUUUCAGAAAACCCAAGAAAGAAGAACUAAACACAGCAGAGCAGGCGGCCGGCAGCUAACCCGAGGUCACGGCGCUCCCAGCCGAGGAGAACGGGAGUCUGGGAGUCUCUGCCCUCUGCGCCCACCCCCUGCACCUUAUACGCCUGCCUCGCCUGGUUCCACGCUUGGCUCCCCGUACUAAACAGCUACAGGCGCGCACACGCCCCAGCGCUGGGCGGGCGCCCCGGAAGCCACACCCCCCACCCCCUAACACUCCCGGGAGACGGCCGCCACUGGACCCACUUUGCAGCCGGGGAGACUGAGGCCCAGAGGUCUCAGAGGCAAGUUCAAGGUAGCUCAGCGGCAGGGGCUCCCGAGUCUCUGCAGACGCGCUCUGCCCGCAAGGGCUGGCGGUCGGUCUGCUCCAGGCAGCCCAAGCCGGCCCGCCCUCGCGGCGAC